UAGGCCUACUGAAAUAAUUACAAUAUUGGAGUUGGCUAGAUUGUAGUCACGAUUUAGGACGGAAAAGGUCAGACAUGUCCAAACUAGUCGAAUUACCAGUUUUUUUUCCCCUUCAUUAUUUCUUGUAAUUACUACUCCAACACACGCGAGGGCAGGUUUGUGCUCCCGUUUGCAUUGUAUUUCCACCAUUUUGGCUCAUCACAGAAGCAUUUAUAGCGUCUACUAUAUGUGUCCGUGGAGGAGACUCUGGUGGGUUUAUUUGGUCAAUCCCGCAACCUCAAAAUCAAAGUCUUGAAGUUUGGGAGUCUACCUUGCACCAAACUAGUCGUAAGCUGCCUAAGAUACCUUGUAUCUUUCGCAAGUUAUCAUCGUAUUUGCAACAUUAGCAACAUCGGAUAGCAUUAAGCAUCUGGAGAUUGUAAUUUUAUGUUAAACUGGGUAGCUUCAGGUGGGCUAUAGCUUAUCUAGCGUGUCAACAAACAUUAGGUUAUGAACUCUCUCGUCUGUUAUGGGUUGUCGUCUGAUUCUGAUAGCGACAGUGAUGUGAAAAAAUGCCGUCAAGAGGGAGAGACGGCAAGUGGGAAAACCGAGCCAGCGACACAGCAGAAAAAGGGACGUAACUUCCUACUGGAAUCCGGUUCAGCAUCCAGCGAUUCUGAACCCGAAGGUGAUUAUGAUGAUGAUGGUGGUGAUGAUGAGGAGAAGUGCUAUGAUGCCCGGACGGAGCCUCCCUUGCCCAUUCAGCAACAUAUACCUGAGGAGGCCAUUCCUCCUGCAUCAUCCACCCUAAAGGCCAACAAGCUGCCGCCCCCACCUCUUGGGACGAGUAGUGGUCUGGUGGGCAGUAGUGUUUUUGCCAACCCAUUUAAGGAACAGGCUGAUGAGCGACUGAAUGUACUGCAGAAACAUGUGCCGCUUACACUGCAGGCUAGACCUGCACAGAUAGGUGGUAAGAAAAUUUGCAUAGGCUACAGGAAGGAUGGACGUUGCCGGUUUGGGAGCCGAUGUAAGUUUGCUCAUGACAGUGAUCUCCAAAAUACAGCCACCCCGGUCCCUGAUGAGGGCCCAGAAACCUCCUCAGACCAGCCCAGCCCAACUCUGUUAUCAUCACAAACCCAUGAUUGUCAGACUCCCCUGCUUCAAAAACAGGGGCGCGAAGAGGGUGGAUCAGAGGAGGGGCGUAUGAAGAAGAGGAGAGUUGGCCUCAGUGAAACACUCAUCCCUCCAAAGCGGGCGUUAAAGCAGUUUGACAUGCAGAGGCAAAAGGACAGAGUAACUCCUUUCUGA
rnacentral:lncRNA from 1 species